GUUUCAAAGAAGCUUAUAGUUACAGUUUAAGAAGACCAUAAAAAAUCACGCACACAGCCAACGACUUAUGUUAACAUGUCUCUGCGUUAAUA